GCGCCUGUAGCUCAGUGGACAGAGCGGUGGACUCCGGAUCCACAGGUCGGAGGUUCAAGUCCUCUCGGGCGCA
rfam:Candidatus Coatesbacteria bacterium 4484_99 ex4484_99_scaffold_11038, whole genome shotgun sequence.